GAAGUAGAGGCUGCUGAUGGGUUAGUAGAAGUAGAGGCUGCUGAUGGGUUAGUAGAGGUAGAGGCUGCUGAUGGGUUAGUAGAGGUAGAGGCUGCUGAUGGGUUAGUAGAGGUAGAGGCUGCUGAUGGGUUAGUAGAGGUAGUAGAGGUAGAGGCUGCUGAUGGGUUAGUAGAGGUAGAGGCUGCUGAUGGGUUAGUAGAGGUAGAGGCUGCUGAUGGGUUAGUAGAGGUAGAGGCUGCUGAUGGGUUAGUAGAGGUAGAGGCUGCUGAUGGGUUAGUAGAGGUAGAGGCUGCUGAUGGGUUAGUAGAGGUAGAGGCUGCUGAUGGGUUAGUAGAGGUAGAGGCU